AAAGCCGGAUUAAUACCGCAUACGAUCUACGGAUGAAAGCGGGGGAUCGCAAGACCUCGCGCUAUAGGGGCGGCCGAUGGCGGAUUAGCUAGUUGGUGGGGUAAAGGCCCACCAAGGCGACGAUCCGUAGCUGGUCUGAGAGGACGACCAGCCACACUGGGACUGAGACACGGCCCUUACUCCUACGGGAGGCAGCAGUGGGGAAUUUUGGACAAUGGGCGCAAGCCUGAUCCAGCAAUGCCGCGUGUGUGAAGAAGGCCUUCGGGUUGUAAAGCACUUUUGUCCGGAAAGAAAUCCUCUGGGUUAAUACCCCGGGGGGAUGACGGUACCGGAAGAAUAAGCACCGGCUAACUACGUGCCAGCAGCCGCGGUAAUACGUAGGGUGCGAGCGUUAAUCGGAAUUACUGGGCGUAAAGCGUGCGCAGGCGGGGAUGU
rnacentral:rRNA from 1 species